GUUAACUGAAUACAUAGGUUAACGAGGCGAACCGGGGGAACUGAAACAUCUAAGUACCCCGAGGAAAAGAAAUCAACCGAGAUUCCCCCAGUAGCGGCGAGCGAACGGGGAGCAGCCCAGAGUCUGAAUCAGCUUGUGUGUUAGUGGAACGGUCUGGAAAGUCCGACGGUACAGGGUGAUAGUCCCGUACACCAAAAUGCACAGGCUGUGAACUCGAAGAGUAGGGCGGGACACGUGGUAUCCUGUCUGAAUAUGGGGGGACCAUCCUCCAAGGCUAAAUACUCCUGACUGACCGAUAGUGAACCAGUACCGUGAGGGAAAGGCGAAAAGAACCCCGGCGAGGGGAGUGAAAAAGAACCUGAAACCGUGUACGUACAAGCAGUGGGAGCACCUUCGGGUGUGACUGCGUACCUUUUGUAUAAUGGGUCAGCGACUUAUAUUCUGUAGCAAGGUUAACCGUAUAGGGGAGCCGCAGGGAAACCGAGUCUUAACUGGGCGUUAAGUUGCAGGGUAUAGACCCGAAACCCGGUGAUCUAGCCAUGGGCAGGUUGAAGGUUGGGUAACACUAACUGGAGGACCGAACCGACUAAUGUUGAAAAAUUAGCGGAUGACUUGUGGCUGGGGGUGAAAGGCCAAUCAAACCGGGAGAUAGCUGGUUCUCCCCGAAAGCUAUUUAGGUAGCGCCUCGUGAACUCAUCUUCGGGGGUAGAGCACUGUUUCGGCUAGGGGGUCAUCCCGACUUACCAACCCGAUGCAAACUACGAAUACCGAAGAAUGUUAUCACGGGAGACACACGGCGGGUGCUAACGUCCGUCGUGAAGAGGGAAACAACCCAGACCGCCAGCUAAGGUCCCAAAGUCAUGGUUAAGUGGGAAACGAUGUGGGAAGGCACAGACAGCCAGGAUGUUGGCUUAGAAGCAGCCAUCAUUUAAAGAAAGCGUAAUAGCUCACUGGUCGAGUCGGCCUGCGCGGAAGAUGUAACGGGGCUAAACCAUGCACCGAAGCUGCGGCAGCGACACUAUGUGUUGUUGGGUAGGGGAGCG
rnacentral:rRNA from 1 species